rnacentral:lncRNA from 1 species
AGACAGAGAAUCACCGUGACUCAGGGGAGAAGGAUGGGACAUAAGAGCUGCAGGAGAGAAAGCUGAUCGGCCAUGUAAGAAUUUGGCUGCACAACGCCAGACGUUUCUACUCGCCUCUUGAUUCGGGAAGAUCCAGUUUGAUGAUGAGACAUUUUCUCUUGAAUUGUAGUACAGCAACUGAAGGAGAUGGAGAGAGUUAAGAUAAUAAAUUCAGACAGAAAAGCUGUAAAGUAAAAUGAUGGUUAAAUAGCCUCCUUGCCUGGGGCGUACAUUAGGGAACAAAUUUGUGACCUUUGAUAAUCCAUCCACCAAAAAGCUUAUGAAAUAGUCUUGCCAGUGACCUUCAGGAGAGUGACCUUCAGGAGAAUAAGAGCAUCUACACAGGCCGAGGUUCUGUUUUUAUAGGUUCAAAAUUAAGGACCACAAGAAGAACAAAGGACGAGAACUGUUUUGAAAUCUGCACAAAUGGAUCAGUAAUGGAAUUUUCCUCAAAUUUCAUGUACAAAGCAGCUGUUGCCGGAAGGAUGCUACAGAGAUCCUCCUAUGGCUGGAUAGUCACUUUGCACUGCUGUUAUAAAAACACUAUUACCAAGGCGACUUAUAGAAAGAAGAUGGCUUAAGUUUCCCGGGGAAAGUCUGUAACAUCAGAAAGGCAUGGCUGUAGUCAUCUAGAACCACACACAAACUCAGAGAGAAACUACAUGUCGGGCAAGGUCAUAAGCUGUCAAAGCUCUCCCCACCAAGGGACGUGCUUCCUCCAGCAAUGCUGAACCUCCCCAGACACCACCACCAACUGGAGAUCAAGUGUUCAAAUAUCUGAGCUUUGCGGGGACAUUUCUCAUUUGAAACCCCCUCCCCAGAAGAGUCAUUCAGGAUGCCUUACAGUUUACAGGACAUGCUGUAAUCAAAGUAACUAUUAAAUGUUCCCAAGAUUUCUGAGACUUGCAAAGGACAUUUAAUAAAUAAAAAAAUGUACAGUGAAAUAAAAAAACAAUUAAGAAAAA